rnacentral:rRNA from 1 species
UACGGGGGGGCAAGCGUUGUUCGGAAUUACUGGGCGUAAAGGGCUCGUAGGCGGCCAACUAAGUCGGAUGUGAAAUCCCCGGCUCAACCUGGGAACUGCGUCCGAUACUGGCAGGCUUGAAUCCGGGAGAGGGAUGUGGAAUUCCAGGUGUAGCGGUGAAAUGCGUAGAUAUUGGGAGGACACCAGUGGCGAAGGCGGCUCGCUGGACCGGAACUGACGCUGAGGCGCGAAAGCGUGGGGAGCAAACAGG